rnacentral:rRNA from 1 species
AUGGAUACAAGUAAUCAUGCUGACGGUUACGAGUCACGUACUGAUUCGGAGGAGGAGGAGGAGAUAAUGUUUCUUGUCUUUCCGACAUUAUAUUGUAUAUCUUCUAGGAGAGAAAAGAUUCCAUACAACACAUCAAUUCUUACAGGAGCUAAGUAUAUCCGGGAAAUAUUGGAUGGCCACCCUCAACGGUGCCCUGAUAUUCUUAGGAUGGAAUCCCACAUCUUCCAAGCUCUAUGCGACCACCUUAGAUCCAAAAAUCUUCUACGAAACUCAAGAGGAGUCAGCGUUGGAGAGCAACUAGGGAUGUUUAUGUACAUGCUUUCCAGGAAUGCGAGUUAUGGUACAUUGAUUGAUAGAUUUCAGCAUAGUCCGGAAAUAGUGCAUAGACAUAUCAAUGGAUGCUUCAAUGCUAUGAUAUCAUUGGCAUUUGACCUUAUCAAGCAUAGUUCGUCAGAUACUCACUGUAAAAUAUCAACACAUCCCCAGUUUUGGCCUUUCUUCGAGAACUGCCUAGGGGCAAUAUAUGGGACUCAUGUUCCCAUGACCAUCGCAUCCAGUGAGGCUGCUCCAUAUAGGAAUAGAAAGGGGACCCUCUCCCAAAAUUUGAUGGUUGCCUGCGACUUUGAUCUCAAGGUUGUUUAUGUGUCGGCUGGUUGGGAGGGGUCUGCCUCAAAUGCUGGAGUAUUGAAAUCUUCCAUUCAAUCGGGCUUCCAUGUACCUACGGGAAAGUACUAUUUGGUUGACGGAGGCUACGCAAACACCCCACAAUUUCUAGCUCCGUACCAUGGAGUUCGUUAUCAUCUACAAGAUUUUGGUAGAGGUGGCUCUCGCCCAAAGAAUGCGAAAGAACUUUUCAAUCUAAGGCAUGCCCGUCUACGAAACCACAUAGAGCGUGCAAUUGGUGUCUGGGAAAUGCGAUUUCCUAUUUUGAAAGUUGGCAUGCAUUACCCAAUUGAUACUCAAGUCAAAAUUGCUGUGGCGGCAGCUGUAUUUCACAACAUAAUCCGAGAAUGGUUAGAUACGCAACAAAUGCAAAUUGAUCCUCUUCAUUUUGUCACUCUUCCUGAUGGAGAUGACAAACCUCGAGAUGUUCCUACAUCCUCAAGCAAUCAAAGGGACCUUGGUAAUUCCAUGAGAGAUGAAAUUGCCAACAGGAUGUGGGUGGACUAUCAAAGAAUUAGAAGACAAAAAUGUCACGGAGAUCUGUUGGCUAAUAAUUGA